UACGAAGGGGGCGAGCGUUGUUCGGAAUUACUGGGCGUAAAGGGCGCGUAGGCGGCGACCCAAGUCAGAUGUGAAAGUCCUGGGCUUAACCUGGGGACUGCAUUUGAUACUGGGUUGCUUGAAUGCAGGAGAGGAUAGCGGAAUUCCCAGUGUAGAGGUGAAAUUCGUAGAUAUUGGGAAGAACACCGGUGGCGAAGGCGGCGACCUGGUCCAUUACUGACGCUGAGGCGCGACAGCGUGGGGAGCAAACAGG
rnacentral:rRNA from 1 species